rnacentral:lncRNA from 1 species
GGGGUGGGAAGAAAACUUUUCCUCUGUCACCUUAGGUUCUGAAGGUUGGGGAGAUGCAAAUUAGCUGACAACAGACCAGGAGAGAAGACAAGGUUUCUUCAGAUCUGCAUGAAUACAGAGGCAGGUGGCAAUUAUCAGUCACCUGCUGAAUAGCUGGAAGCAAAUAUUGAUAUAGCAAAAAUGUGUGGGAGGAGGUGAGAGCUUCAAUGGAAAAUGGGAGAGACUCUACUGGGUUCUUUAAUGCCACUGGAGAGCUGAAUUCACACUUCCCAGGGCUAAAGGAGCAGUGGAGUGGAAGUACUCCUACAAGAUGGGAAAAGUUGUGCAUUCAGCAAUCCGUGACGAGCACACGUUGAGGCAGACAACGCCAUGCUGGAACUCUGCCUGCCUGAUAGACACCCAGAGAUGGGGCUAUUUGUGUUGGUAAAGUUUGUAUCAGUCAGAAUGGAGAGGUGGCGGCAACUGUGGAUGGAGACAGCCAUUUGGGAAUGUUCAAAUCAUGUUAGCUGCACUUUGUUUCACAUGCAAUAUUCCCUUUGUUCUCUCAUGAAAAUGCUAAAGAAACAGAAAAUGCCUUUCCAGGAAUUGUCAGGGAUCUAACUACAGAUGCGACUCAUUCAUUUAGAACAGUAAGUAGUUGGAAAAGGACACAAUAAUGUUCCCAGUUUGGCAUUUGUUUACCUCAGAGCUGCUAACAAAGCUAAUGUGACAACUAUUAAAAAGGAAAAUACUUUCCUUGCCUAAUUGAUGUAAAGAAUCGAAAAUGAUCAAAAUCCAAACCGAAUUUCAAUUAUUCUUCUGGCACGUACAUUUCUCAAGACUGUGAUGCUUUUUAACUUUGCUUCAUUAUCAUUUUCCAAUUGCUCUGUGGUCUUUGUAUUUUUUUUUAAUGGCAACUUGCGUCUUUAUUACUGCAGCCGUAACAUUCCAACAAUAAGCUGUGUCAUUUCUCAAGCAUUUCCCUGAGUUCCCAAUCAGCAGAGUUAUGUAAGGUGGCAGGUUAAUAAAUGCGACACACUGAAAUCAUUUGUACCAGACUACCUCUCCUUCCAAGCUCUGACAGAUGCUAAGUCCAGCUGGUAAAAAAAGUUUAUAGGCGAGUUGGAUCUGGGGUCUUCACACACUCCACAAUGUUGGCUACCAAUGCUUGUUUUAAUGAGUCACGGAUUGCCUGUUUAUCUUCUGCUCCCUGCUGUUUCUGCAUUUUCUCUUCCAGAACAAUCCUAGAAACACAUGCUGCUACAGACGCUGGAGCAAUGUGUGUAGACAUUUGAGCCAAAUUGUUAUAAAGAACUCUUUCUUCUCUGAUAUGAAAAAAGGAGCGAGAAUUGCACAUUGCCUAGCAAAUCGUUAUCUCAGAUGUUCGCUGUGACAUGCUCAAUAUGGCCUACCAGAAAAAGUUGGAGACAUUUGCAACCUUAACAACUACACAAAAUGACACUGUAAUUGGCGGGUUUUGUUGUUCAUGUUCUGGCUCAGCUAAAACUGCUCUAAACACUUUGUUUAAUGAUGUUACAUUAUGACAACACAUGGCUUCUAUACAGCAAGUCAUCAUGUUUAACAUGCAACUACACAGGAAAAGUAGCGAGCGGCCAGGAAACGGUACCAGGAGUCGCCCUUCAAAGUUCUCACUGCAAACCAAAAAUGAUUAGUCCAAAGCCUCCAGAUAAUUCCUCUUUCUCACUAAAGGCUCACUUAAGUUGGGUUCCCAGUUCUACUGGCUUAAGGUGACUUUUUUAGGGAAACUCGGUUUGAGUGAGUGUGUUGUGAGAGGAGGUAUUGCCAUCACAAUAUUUACUAUUUAACUGAGUUGUGGGAAAACAGCUUAAGAAAAAAGAAAGAGAGAAGCACAUGAGUCAGAUCAUGCCUUAAGCAAAUUGCUCACUGAGAGGCAGGUACUUUUGUUUGAACUUCAAAACAAAUUUUAUAUAUUUGUGUGUGUAUACAUAUGUGUAUGUUUUAUAUACAUAUUGUUUUAUAUAUGUAUAUACACAUACAUAUAAAAGAGUAAGUACACACUCUUCUCCAGAUAAAUUUGUGAGUAUCGUGUUUGUCUUCAUUUUAAUAGUUUUGGGUCAUCUCCUGAAUGUCUAGCUUUUGCUGUCUUAGAAAAAUACAGUGAAAAUUAGAUGCAACCUCUAGCUAUAGAUAUUUGAUUUAUAAUAGCAUGGAGAGAUGAGAGAUGAAAAACAAAUGUAAGGUAGA